GAGAUCAUACUUUAGGUUCUA
rnacentral:siRNA from 1 species